GCCAAGGUAAAGGCAAAGCGGCGGAUGUGUCUCUUCAAUUUCAUUUUGAAAGAUGUUUUCCUUCUUGUAAUAUAAUUUACAAGUGAAAUUUAGAGUCCUACAGAUUCAGACUGGAAUUCUAACAUGUACGCCUUUAAUACCGCUUGACUGUGGUACCUUUAUUCACCCGCUCAGCUCAACAUCGACGUUUCCAAGAAAUUUCCAGCCCAUAUUCAUUUCAACAAAUCAGAAAAGGGCAUUUGUUUGAGAUUUUACCUUGCUCUCUACGAUACCCCCAUCAGCCGUGUCUACUGCAGUAACUCUGUUAGAUCAGCUCAGCUCACCUGCGAUCCAACACUAACAGACAAUCAAGA